CGUUGCUUUCUUGCACAUAGGAGGUUGGUGGCUGUGAUAUUUAUCGAAAUAUUGAUUUAUUAACUAGGCCUAACGGGAAUUUUCAGGUCUCUUGGCUUUGUUUACAAUCACUGUGAAGCUCCGGAUACUCCAAUAGAAUUUGAAAAUUCUGGAUCUGAAACAAAAACAAAAAUCGUAAAUUCAUGCUUGAUGUGAGUUUGCCAUCGCUGAUCAAACUUUCGGCUCUUUGAUUUGACAAGAAAACUUUCGGAAGGUUGUAUUUUACAAGAAAGACUAGAAAAAUGGUGCAAGUGGACAGCAGGGAAGAGCUGUUCGUCGCUUCCUUCCGCAAGAGCUUCCAUCCCAUUCCUCGAAGUCAAGCAGGAAGAGCAACCACACCACCAAGUUCCGUCUUCAGGUGAAGCGGUCUCCUCUGCACGACAUCGGAGAAAAACAAGGGCCAACGCCUGCUUUCGGGCAACUGCUACGUCCGAUUCCAGAAGUUUUCUGGAAAUCAGAUGACGAUCUGAUUUCCAGAAGACGAUCUGCUGACCACAAAAUGAGAAGUAAUUCGUGUGCGAAGAUGAACUUGAAGAGUUCCUUUUGCGAUGGGAGUGUAUUUAGAAUAAAGUCUCCCUGUGUGGUUAAAGUUUUCCUGUUUAGAGCACUUAAAGGGGGGGGGAUACAUAGGGAUUUUAAAUCUUAUUUGGAUUUAACAAAAAACACUCCAUAUUUUAUAGUAAUUUUAAAAAAGAAGAAGAAGAAGAAGU